UGCCCCGAGCUCUCUGUGCCACGGACGGCUGGGGUUCCUGGGGAUGGGAUUUGCUGUCGGUCACAAAUCACAUUGCCAGGGAUUUCCAACUGACCGUGAGCCCUACCUCCUAUGGUGU
rnacentral:pre_miRNA from 15 species